AGAGAACAAAGCUUUUAAUAUUGCAUAGCUCAUGUCUUAAACACUUAUCAAACGGCCCAUUAGGACAACUCAAAGAAUACCAUUGAGAUAUAGGAAAUUGAACCAAAGGUUAUGAUAACCAAGAGAAUAAAUAACUACAGGUGUUGAAUGAAUUGGCUUCCAAGAUUUACUACAAGGCAACAACUAAGAAUAAGCUUCUGGCAUCACAUUCAAUGGAUUAUUAAGCAAUUCUUCACAUUUUUCUUGCAAGCAUAUAUGCUACUAUAUUAAAGAACUCCAUAAAAUUAAGCUAACAAAGAGACAAAUCUACAGGAGCACUUUACUAAUCCAUUAUUUGUUCAGCUUAGGUGCUAAUAAUUGGAUUUGCAUUUGAUAGUUAGUAAAAAAGGGAUAUUUUCAGCAUUUAGAUGGGUACAAAGCUGCAGUAUUUUAAAUCAUGUUCAGAAGCCGGCACAUUGCUAUUGUUGUGGGAUUAUAUCAUACCAUAUGUAAGUCCAAGAUGUUGAAAUCAGAUAAUUAACUCAAAAAUGUAAACAAAAGGAAAAUGAUUUUUGCUAAGAUUAAGAGAAAAAGUUGCAACCUCCAUAUCAAAUGCAUGAGCAUGCUCCUCCUUAUUACAGAAAAGACAACUUUGUGUACACCUUAGUUUUGAACCUCUUUUAACUUGAAAACAAAAAUGUCAAUCCAAUAUAAAAAAUUCAUCUCUACAGUCUACAAUUCAGACAUUAACAUGGCUCCAAGAUAAACAGAUCUAGCAAAUAUGACUCUGGUGAAAUUUAGAUUAUUUUCUGACCAACUAGCCUUUAAAUCAAAACAUGAUUUUUCUGCACAAGAAAGAAACACAAUAGUAAAUCAAAGAAGUACUAAAGUAAGAUCACAACCUGAAAGGGAAAGAAGCUAAAUCUCCGUGAGACAAACAAAAAUCACAAGAAUCUUUGGGCAAACAAAACCAUCAAACGGCUUAGACAGCAACAUGGUCGAACUAAAAUCCUAUUUUUUGUUGUUAACCCAUAUCACAAACAAAUACCAAGAUGAGCACAUAAAAAUCAAAACACUAGAAACAUACAAAGCUAAGCAUGAUUAUAGAAUUAACAGUUCCAAAUCUUCACUUAUACGCUCAAAAGAGUACAAAGGGAAUUCGACAUACCUAGUAGCAGAAAAAUUACCCCAAUAAAGUCUAGAGCUGGAAAUGAAGGAGCACAGGUAUAAUUUGACAGCACAAACACCAAAAAAAUCAGCGGACUAACGAACAGCAAUUCCAACAAUUUAGAGAACCAGAAAUCAAGAGAAAGAACCAAGGCUAAAAGAACCUCUGUUUUAGUGACAUCUUUUUCUGAUUUUUAUCUUAAACAUUAAAUAAACUCGAAUAAAACAUGAACUCAAACAAUUUUCCUUUUUUCGUAUGUUUUUCUGGAAAGAAAAAAGAAGCAGACUAAAAGAAAUGGCUUGAAGAAGGUGACAACUCUUAGAACCCUAGAAUUUUUCCUAGAUUUUUCCUCUUAUUUUUUCUUCGAUUUUUUCUCUGAUCUUUUUCCUCACCUAGCAAACAGAACUUACCUCAUAUAUAUAGCCUUCAAAAAAUCUUCAAGUUUUUGCCAAAAAUCCAAAAAUCUUCAGGUUUUCUGAACAAUAUUUGGGGCAAAUAGAAGGCAUGGAUCGAUUUACAUCUAUCCACGGCUCCCAUUCAUCCAGCAAAUCGUCUUUUCGUACCAAAAAUCGUGCGAUUUUGAGAGAAUAUUCGUAUUCUUUUUGAUAAAAACCGUUGGGAAUCAAAUGACGUGGAGGGGAAGGGUCCCAUUUGAGCAAACUCGCCUGAGUUCCAGACGAGUUGAGGGCCGAGUCGAGGAGGAAUAAGGUGAACAAUAGACAAGAGCGUCAUUUUCUAAUUUUCCUAGGUCUAGGGUUUGAUUAGGGAAAUAUAAUAAGAGAGAUUUUAUAUGGAAGGGAA
rnacentral:lncRNA from 1 species